rnacentral:lncRNA from 1 species
UCAACUCCUGACAUUUUGAGAGUGGAAUCUCAAAAUCCAUGCCUAGGGGAUCCUACAUGUGAAAUUUGAUCAAGGUUGGAUCAUGGAUUCAUCAUUUAAUUAGGAAUUGGAAAGUUACUUAAUUUGGAAAUGGUUGACUUUCCAUUUAGGGCAAGUUUUCAUGAUCGUUGCACUCACUUUAAGCCCAUUUUGUAUCAAGAUAAAAGCUCCAUUUGAAACUUUCUCCAACAUGAAAGUUG